GAAAUGUUGGAGCAAUGUUUGAAUCUUGCAUUCAACUGAAUUAAGGAUUUAUAAAAAAAACAAGGUAUAAUUAUCAUAUACAGUGAAUUGUCUUUUGAUUGGUAAUGGAAAAUCUACAUUGUUUGUUUGAAAUGAUUAAGUUAAGCAUGCAACUAUACUUUUUACCAAUCUCACGUCAUCAUAUAUAGUAUUAUAACUCAACAUAUUUAAAUUAUUUAUUUGCCAAAAUAUAGUUGGGGGUUGAAAUGAAUAAUUAUGUCCACUGCCUCCUUUCUAUUGGCUAGGUCAGUGGAGUAUUAAAAUAAUUCAGCCGUAAGAUAAUUAAUGUUAUGCAUGAUUUGUAAUAAAUCAAUAAGAAUAUCAAUUCUUU
rnacentral:lncRNA from 1 species